rnacentral:rRNA from 1 species
CGCGUAGGCGGCUCGAUAAGUCAAAGGUGAAAUCCCUCGGCUCAACUGAGGAACUGCCUUUGAAACUGUCGAGCUCGAGUCCGGGAGGGGGUAGCGGAAUUCCCAGUGUAGCGGUGAAAUGCGUAGAUAUUGGGAGGAACACCAGUGGCGAAGGCGGCUACCUGGACCGGAACUGACGCUGAUGCGCGAAAGCGUGGGUAGCAAACAGGAUUAGAUACCCUGGUAGUCCACGCUGUAAACGAUGGGUGCUCGGUGUCGCGGGUAUCGACCCCUGCGGUGCCUUAGCUAACGCGUUAAGCACCCCGCCUGGGGAGUACGGUCGCAAGGCUGAA